rnacentral:rRNA from 1 species
GAUAGUAUCGUAGCAAUAUGAUAUGAAACCGGCGCACGGGUGCGUAACACGUAUGCAACCUACCUUUCACUGGGGAAUAGCUCCGAGAAAUCGGAAUUAAUACCCCAUAAUAUUAUGACCUGGCAUCAGGAUGUAAUUAAAGCUCCGGCGGUGAUUGAUGGGCAUGCGUUGCAUUAGCUAGUUGGUGAGGUAACUGCUCACCAAGGCUACGAUGCAUAGGGGGUCUGAGAGGAUGAUCCCCCACACUGGUACUGAGACACGGACCAGACUCCUACGGGAGGCAGCAGUAGGGAAUAUUGGGCAAUGGACGCAAGUCUGACCCAGCCAUGCCGCGUGCAGGAUGAAUGUUCUAUGAAUUGUAAACUGCUUUUUUAUGGAAAGAAACCCCCGGAUGCGUUCGGGGCUGACGGUACCAUAAGAAUAAGGAUCGGCUAACUUCGUGCCAGCAGCCGCGGUAAGACGAAGGAUUCAAGCGUUGUCCGGAUUUACUGGGUUUAAAGGGUGCGUAGGCGGAAAUAUAAGUCAGUGGUGAAAUCCCGCAGCUCAACUGCGGAACUGCCAUUGAAACUGCAUUUCUUGAAUACGGUUGAGGUAGAUGGAAUGUAACAUGUAGCGGUGAAAUGCUUAGAUAUGUUACAGAACUCCGAUUGCGAAGGCAGUCUACUAAGCCGUUAUUGACGCU